AUGAGCUUCUACAGCCUUCACGAGACGCUGCACCAUGAGAUCACCAAAGUCGAGUCUCGCUUCUACUGGGCUGGUGACAACAAUAAGCAGAAAUACCAUAUGGUUAGCUGGCCUGACAUAUGCAAGCCCCGGGACCAAGGAGGACUAGGUAUCAUGUGCUCGAAGCGCAUGAAUAUUGCCCUCCUAUCCCGAUGGCUUUGGCGCAUUUCGCAAGGGCACGGCGGCCUUUGGUUAGAUAUCAUCCGGAAUAAGUACCUGCGCGGACAACCCCUUGCUUUCUGUCAGCGCUCCGGCGGAUCCCAGUUUUGGCAGUCGAUUGUCCAACUCCUCCCGGUCCUCCGCAUUGGGACAUCCAUCUCGGUUGGGUCGGGUUCUGCGACCCUGUUCUGGUUCGACCGUUGGGCGGGUGAUUCCCCCUUCGCGGCAUGA
rnacentral:rRNA from 1 species